rnacentral:rRNA from 1 species
UACGAAGGGGGCAAGCGUUGUUCGGAUUUACUGGGCGUAAAGCGUACGUAGGCGGAUGAUUAAGUCAGGGGUGAAAUCCCGAGGCUCAACCUCGGAACUGCCUUUGAUACUGGUCAUCUUGAGUCCGGAAGAGGUGAGUGGAACUCCUAGUGUAGAGGUGGAAUUCGUAGAUAUUAGGAAGAACACCAGUGGCGAAGGCGGCUCACUGGUCCGGUACUGACGCUGAGGUGCGAAAGCGUGGGGAGCAAACAGG